rnacentral:rRNA from 1 species
AGUUGCUGGGCGUAGACCCGAAACCGAGUGAUCUAUCCAUGGCCAGGAUGAAGGUGCGGUAACACGCACUGGAGGUCCGAACCCACUAGUGUUGCAAAACUAGGGGAUGAGCUGUGGAUAGGGGUGAAAGGCUAAACAAACUCGGAGAUAGCUGGUUCUCCCCGAAAACUAUUUAGGUAGUGCCUCAUGUAUCACUUCCGGGGGUAAAGCACUGUUAUGGCUAGGGGGUCAUUGCGAUUUACCAAACCAUGGCAAACUCUGAAUACCGGAAAGUGCGAGCAUGGGAGACAGACGGUGGGUGCUAACGUCCAUCGUCAAGAGGGAAACAACCCAGACCGCCAGCUAAGGUCCCAAAUGAUCAGUUAAGUGGUAAACGAAGUGGGAAGGCCUAGACAGCCAGGAUGUUGGCUUAGAAGCAGCCAUCAUUUAAAGAAAGCGUAAUAGCUCACUGGUCGAGUCGUCCUGCGCGGAAGAUGUAACGGGGCUCAAACUGAUAACCGAAGCUGCGGAUGGGCACGUAAGUGUCCGUGGUAGGGGAGCGUUCUGUAGGUCUGUGAAGGUGUCUCGUAAGGGAUGCUGGAGAUAUCAGAAGUGCGAAUGCUGACAUGAGUAGCGAUAAAGCGGGUGAAAAGCCCGCUCGCCGAAAGCCCAAGGUUUCCUACGCAACGUUCAUCGGCGUAGGGUGAGUCGGCCCCUAAGGCGAGGCUGAAAAGCGUAGUCGAUGGGAAACGGGUUAAAAUUCCCGUACUUUUGUGUAGUGCGAUGUGGGGACGGAGAAGGUUAGGUCAUCAGACUGUUGGAAUAGUCUGUUUAAGCCGGUAGGCGUGAGGGGUAGGCAAAUCCGCCCUUCUUUAACGCCGAGACGUGAUGACGAGGGUCUACGGACCUGAAGUGACUGAUACCACGCUUCCAGGAAAAGCCACUAAGCUUCAGCUACACAAGAACCGUACCGCAAACCGACACAGGUGGGCAGGAUGAGAAUUCUAAGGCGCUUGAGAGAACUCAGGAGAAGGAACUCGGCAAAUUGAUACCGUAACUUCGGGAGAAGGUAUGCCUCUUAGAGUGUAGGACUUCGCGUUCGAAGCUUUGAGAGGUCGCAGAGAAUCGGUGGCUGCGACUGUUUAACAAAAACACAGCACUGUGCCAACACGAAAGUGGACGUAUACGGUGUGACGCCUGCCCGGUGCCGGAAGGUUAAGUGAUGGGGUGCAAGCUCUUGAUCGAAGCCCCGGUAAACGGCGGCCGUAACUAUAACGGUCCUAAGGUAGCGAAAUUCCUUGUCGGGUAAGUUCCGACCCGCACGAAUGGCGUAACGAUGGCCACACUGUCUCCUCCUGAGACUCAGCGAAGUUGAAGUGUUUGUGAAGAUGCAAUCUCCCCGCUGCUAGACGGAAAGACCCCGUGAACCUUUACUGUAGCUUUGCAUUGGACUUUGAACAGACUUGUGUAGGAUAGGUGGGAGGCUUUGAAGCCAGGACGCUAGUUCUGGUGGAGCCGUCCUUGAAAUACCACCCUGGUGUGUUUGAGGUUCUAACCUUGGUCCGUGAUCCGGAUUGGGGACAGUGCAUGGUAGGCAGUUUGACUGGGGCGGUCUCCUCCCAAAGUGUAACGGAGGAGUUCGAAGGUUACCUAGGUACGGUCGGAAAUCGUGCUGAUAGUGCAAUGGCAAAAGGUAGCUUAACUGCGAGACCGACAAGUCGAGCAGGUGCGAAAGCAGGACAUAGUGAUCCGGUGGUUCUGAAUGGAAGGGCCAUCGCUCAACGGAUAAAAGGUACUCCGGGGAUAACAGGCUGAUACCGCCCAAGAGUUCACAUCGACGGCGGUGUUUGGCACCUCGAUGUCGGCUCAUCACAUCCUGGGGCUGUAGCCGGUCCCAAGGGUAUGGCUGUUCGCCAUUUAAAGUGGUACGUGAGCUGGGUUCAAAACGUCGUGAGACAGUUUGGUCCCUAUCUGCAGUGGGCGUUGGAAGUUUGACGGGGGCUGCUCCUAGUACGAGAGGACCGGAGUGGACGCACCUCUGGUGUACCGGUUGUGACGCCAGUCGCAUUGCCGGGUAGCUAAGUGCGGAAGAGAUAACCGCUGAAAGCAUCUAAGCGGGAAACUUGCCUGAAGAUGAGACUUCCCUGGAGGCUUGACCUCCCUGAAGAGUCGUUCGAGACCAGGACGUUGAUAGGUCGGGUGUGGAAGCGCUGUGAGGCGUGAAGCUAACCGAUACUAAUUGCUCGUGAGGCUUGAUCCU